GAUGAACGCUGGCGGCGUGCCUAAUACAUGCAAGUCGAGCGAAUGGAUUAAGAGCUUGCUCUUAUGAAGUUAGCGGCGGACGGGUGAGUAACACGUGGGUAACCUGCCCAUAAGACUGGGAUAACUCCGGGAAACCGGGGCUAAUACCGGAUAACAUUUUGAACAGCAUGGUUCGAAAUUGAAAGGCGGCUUCGGCCGUCACUUAGGGAUGGACCCGCGUCGCAUUAGCUAGUUGAGGAGGUAACGGCUCACCAAGGCAACGAUGCGUAGCCGACCUGAGAGGGUGAUCGGCCACACUGGGACUGAGACACGGCCCAGACUCCUACGGGAGGCAGCAGUAGGGAAUCUUCCGCAAUGGACGAAAGUCUGACGGAGCAACGCCGCGUGAGUGAUGAAGGCUUUCGGGUCGUAAAACUCUGUUGUUAGGGAAGAACAAGUGCUAGUUGAAUAAGCUGGCACCUUGACGGUACCUAACCAGAAAGCCACGGCUAACUACGUGCCAGCCGCCGCGGUAA
rnacentral:rRNA from 1 species